rnacentral:rRNA from 1 species
UACGGAGGGUGCGAGCGUUGUCCGGAAUCACUGGGCGUAAAGGGCGCGUAGGCGGCAUGCCAAGCGUGUGGUGAAAGCCCGGGGCUCAACCCCGGGUCGGCCGUGCGGACUGGCGUGCUCGAGCACUGUAGGGGCGGGUGGAAUUCCGGGUGUAGCGGUGAAAUGCGCAGAUAUCAGGAAGAACACCCGUGGCGAAGGCGGCUUUCUGGGACGGUACUGACGCUGAGACGCGAAAGCGUGGGGAGCGAACAGG